UACGAAGGGGGCUAGCGUUGCUCGGAAUCACUGGGCGUAAAGGGUGCGUAGGCGGGUCUUUAAGUCAGGGGUGAAAUCCUGGAGCUCAACUCCAGAACUGCCUUUGAUACUGAAGAUCUUGAGUUCGGGAGAGGUGAGUGGAACUGCGAGUGUAGAGGUGAAAUUCGUAGAUAUUCGCAAGAACACCAGUGGCGAAGGCGGCUCACUACACGAAUAUUGACACUGAGGCACGAAAGCGUGGGGAUCAAACAGG
rnacentral:rRNA from 1 species